rnacentral:ncRNA from 1 species
GAUAGUUGAUUUUACAUGUUUAUUUUGGUGGGUUUAAAUUAAUUCUUAAAAAGGAUUAUAUUGGCUCGUAUUUAACUCGCAGUUUAUAUUGUUACUUAUUUCACUUUUGUGAGAGUUAGUUAAAUUAUCUUAGAUUGGCUAAAGAUGUGCCAGCUGCUGCGGUUAUACAUCUGAUUUAAAUUAUCUAAUUUGGUUGUUAUAUUAAUAAUUUUUAUUAUUGACUAUUAUUAUUUUAAAUUGUUAGGUGAAAUUUUAAUUUAUUGAUUUUUUAGUUUGGUCAUUGAUUAUAUAAAACUCUUUUUAAAAACUAGGAUUAGAUACCCUAUUAUUUUGAGUGUAAUAUGAAAAUCUUAGUAUUAUAAGUUAUGAUCUUUAAAUUAAAAGAAUUUGACGGUAAUUUAAUCUUUUCAGAGGAACCUGUUCUUUAAUUGAUAAUCCACGAUAAAUUUUACCUUAGAUAUUUCCAUAUGCUUGUAUACCUCUGUUUAUUGAGUGUUUUAUUAGAAUUUUAAUUCUCUUUUAUUUUUAAUGUUUAUGUAAAAUAUAUAUCAAGUCAAGGUGCAGCUGUACUAAGGUUGAAAUGGGUUACUUUAAUGUUUAAUUAUUGGAUUAAGUAGUGAAUUUUUACUUAUGAAAUUGGAUUUGAUUGUAAUUACUAUAAUAUAUUAGUAAUGAUUUAUGCUCUGGAUUAAGUACAUAUCGCCCGUCGCUCUCAUUACUGUAAAAUGAGAUAAGUCGUAACAAAGUAGGUUUACCGGAAGGUGUGCCUAGAAUUAAGA